GGGUAGGUGGCGGAAUUGGAAUACGCGCUAGCCUUAGGAGCUAGUGCCGAAAGGCUUGAGGGUUCGAAUCCCUCCCUACCCA
rnacentral:tRNA from 1 species